AUUGAACGCUGGCGGCAGGCUUAACACAUGCAAGUCGAGCGGGGAAAGGUAGCUUGCUACCUGACCUAGCGGCGGACGGGUGAGUAAUGCUUAGGAAUCUGCCUAUUAGUGGGGGACAACAUUCCGAAAGGAAUGCUAAUACCGCAUACGCCCUACGGGGGAAAGCAGGGGAUCUUCGGACCUUGCGCUAAUAGAUGAGCCUAAGUCAGAUUAGCUAGUUGGUGGGGUAAAGGCCUACCAAGGCGACGAUCUGUAGCGGGUCUGAGAGGAUGAUCCGCCACACUGGGACUGAGACACGGCCCAGACUCCUACGGGAGGCAGCAGUGGGGAAUAUUGGACAAUGGGCGAAAGCCUGAUCCAGCCAUGCCGCGUGUGUGAAGAAGGCCUUUUGGUUGUAAAGCACUUUAAGCGAGGAGGAGGCUACCGAGAUUAAUACUCUUGGAUAGUGGACGUUACUCGCAGAAUAAGCACCGGCUAACUCUGUGCCAGCCGCCGCCGUAAAAC
rnacentral:rRNA from 1 species